ensembl:lncRNA
AGCUUAUGUUGGUAUGCCACAACCUUGUAAACUUUGGCAAAAGUCUCAGAAGAAUGUUGCUAGUAAACUGCAAAGAUAGAUAAACUUCUUAACAGUAAGAUUUAAACACUUAGUGGUGUUUUCCAGGAAACAGCUACAAUGAUAGAUUGGAACAGUGCAUGGCCGGUGGCUUGUAACAAAGUGAAGUAAUGUACAGCUUUUCUAUAGACAACGUAGUCCUUGUCCAGAAUUGCAAAUGUGUUCAUCAUUCUUUUCAGUAAUUUUUCAUUGGACAGUCUUAAUCUGGAAUCAAUAUAAUAUUAUUUUAUUUUGUAUAUUAAUAGUCAUUUGUUCAAAAUUAUCUGUGUAUCUGUCUUUUUGGCUGAAGUAAAUAGCCCUCCCCUUUUGGUACUCAUUGGAUCCCUGUACUGAAAUAUGAAGACUUCAAGGAGCUUUGUAAAACUUCUGAUGAAAAACUUUUUUUUUCCACUUUGCUGUUUCAUUAUUUCCACUUAGACUCCAAUUGCACAAGUACUGUAUUUAUUUAGACAAUAUGUAUGCCACUAAGCCUGAUUUUUUUUUUAUAGUGUGUUUGUCAGCUGAAAUGUCUGCAGUAUGCUUCAGUUUCCUUCCAGUCUUCCUCCAAAAAUGAUUUUGAAUGUCAAGCCCUAUUUACUCUUCAAGGGGACCUCUAUAAGCAUAAAAGCAGAGUGGAUUUCUUCUUGAUAAUGCAGCUCAAAACUAAAACCUUGUUGUUUUACUUGAAAGUAGUUCAGCUUUGCAUUAGUUGAAAAAUGCAGCCGAAUAAGAAUUGAUCUGAAGUAUCCUGGGUGGAAAACUGGAUUUGAAUGUUAAAUAUUCCUGAUGUGCAAGAGGCAAGAUAUUAGAAAAAAUAGCUAAGUCCACUGUUAGGCUUGUACUUUACAAGAGAAGCUGUAAAUUGCUCUGUAAUAUUCUUAAUACUUGCAUGUCAUCACAGUCAAAUGGAUAUAGACACACUGAUUGAAGGUGUUGCUAUAGGAGCAGUUGUAGUCUUUUGUACUGUAAUCAUGCCAAGUGGACUUACUGGACAGCGCUGCGUGACAGUUGCAGUUGAAAGGUUUCACUGUUGGGAAUUGAACUUCAUGCUUUCAAGAUAUCAAGAUGAAGAACUGAACUAGAAAUGCAAGGUAGAGUAACAUGCUUGAAGUAUAGCUACUGGCCUGAUUAACAGGUGGAAGAGAUGCAUAGCCUUCCCAAAAAACUCAAUGAAGCUUGCCUUUCAGAAAACUCAAUGAAGAAAAAUGUUAGCGAAUCCAGUAGCACCGAACGACAUAGAGGACAAAGAGGAUGAAAAACAGGCUUUGUUUCUUAUGAUUGUCCCUCAGUACUUGACAGCAGUUUUGAAAUUAAAUUGGAUGCUGCACCUCCAUUAGUUUCCUCAGCCAAUCAGAGGAACAACUGAUAGGACUGUUCGGAUGUGAGGUCUGUUCACAUGUUUAAGUAAAUCUUUUUUCUUUUCAGUUCAGUAAAAUACAUGACUUGUCAUAUCACUGCAUGGUGAUUUUAAAGCAUGGAGACGACCUAAAAGGCUAAUAGGACAUGCUUAAUAAUUCUGUUGUUUUUUGUUGUUGUUGUUGGUUUUCCUUUGUUUUUACAGACCCGCUGUGUAUCAUCUGCUAUACCUCAAAGUCCCAUUGAACUCAUUUGGCACUUGUUAGAAUUUGGGCUCUUAAUACCUACCUUCUAUUUGUUGAAAUACUCUGUACUUGUAUGUUAAGAGUUUGGAGGAAUCCCGUUUUACUGGCAUGGAUACUGAAUUAAUGCGGCAGGAGAAUAAGCAAGCUACUUUGUAAAUAUGGAAGAUUGAUUAGAAACUACUAUUCCUAACUUGAAUUGAAUGAGGAUCUAGCAGAUUUGCACAAGUACUUGUGCCUUGUUAGCAUAGUCUUACAAUUGGUAUUCUAGCUUCUUUUAAAGACAUUAAAUGAUCUUUUAAAAUAAUUUAAGUCAUUAUUGUGUAGAUAUUUUCUAGAGAUGAAGUUUUAUGUGCUCAUACCUGUUUUUAGCAGUAUUAGUUGCAGUUCCUGCAAACACUAAGCUGUUUGAAGAAGCUGCUUUGGCCUAGUGAUCUGUUGAAGCUUCCUCUACGAUACUGUGCAUUAAACAUCAGAAACUCAAUUUUCCAGUAGCAGCUGGUGAACCGAGAAGCCUAUCCUGUUCUGUGUGCUGCCUAAGUCAGAUUUUUCACUUAAAAAAUCACAGCAUCCGAACUUCCAGUAACGCUACCUCCUUUCUCUCUACGUCCUGAAUUCUUGGGUUAGUUUGUCUUUGGGAAAGGAUGGGGAACAUUUCAGUUUGGUUUUUGCUUCGUCAGUUUUGAUAUCUAAAUACAUUGCAAAGCAUUUUUACUGACUGUAUAAAUGACGUACGGUAGAAGAGUAUGAUUUGCCACCAUGUACAUUGUAUAUUACCCUUGCACAAGUUGCUGGAAUUCGUACUGUUGUCUUUUUAUGUAUUUCGUAACUCGUUUGUGCUGACAAAGCAAAACUGUUAUCACAGAGGUUUUAGUAUAAGAAGUUUAGAAGUUUUAUAGCUGAGCCUGUGGUUUAAAAAAAAAAAGUUCUGACUCAGGGCUUUUUAACAACUUACAUACAUUUACGAUAUUCUUCAGCACGUCUUGGAGAGCGUUGUAGGUUUAAUGACUGCACAGUGCCUUGAUAGAACUAUAUAAUGGGCAGCAGCCGUAGAGUCCUUACAGAAUGCAAGUAUCUUUUGAAUCCAGUUGAGGAGUUUAUGUUCAUACAACUGUAAUAUCCCUGCUAUGGAUUUACGUACUUGUAUAUACUUUCUGUAUGGGAAAAUCAGCAAAUGUAGGUCUUGCUAAGCUUUCUGUAAGUUGGUUUGUUGUUGCACGGGUUGGGAGCGGGGGGGCAGGGUGUGAAAGGCUUAGUGUUCAAAUGUACCAAAGUAGCACUUCUGGGAAAGACAGCUGAUAAAAAGCUCUGUAUGGGAUCUUUUUAGUGUGAUGGGAGAGGUGGUUGUAUUAAAAUAAUUAUAAAUAAAAAUAAAAAUGCCCUCCUAAUUCUGGCCCAGUGAGCCUUUCUGAAGGGAGAGAGAGAAUCAGCAACAAUUCUGUGUUUGCAUGCCAUUUCAUAUUUACAGGAAAUGACGUACUUUUACACUUCUAGCAGAUAUUUCUAUCACAAGCUUACUGUCUUCAUGAAUGCCAUUUAUUCCUAUUAGAAAACCAGUUUUACCGAACCACAGGAACAUUUUUGCUACUGUUAAAGCCAACGUUGUAUUUUCAGUAGUUCUUGACAUGACUGUUUACUGGAGAAACUUCUGGUUGUCUGCGUGAAUGUAGUGGAUUUUUCUGUAUGCAGAUAGCAUUAUAUAAUUGCUUUCAUUAAAACUGCUUAGCAAGGUCUAAGCUUCUCAAGAGAAAUGCUAAUGUACUGAAUGGUUAAUAAAAGUUGUUAU